rnacentral:rRNA from 1 species
CGUCCAGACUCCUACGGGAGGCAGCAGUAGGGAAUCUUUCACAAUGGGCGAAAGCCUGAUGGAGCAACGCCGCGUGCAGGAUGAAGGCCUUCGGGUUGUAAACUGCUUUUAUAAGCGAGAAAUAUGAUGGUAACUUAUGAAUAAGGACCGGCUAAUUCCGUGCCAGCAGCCGCGGUAAUACGGAAGGUCCGGGCGUUAUCCGGAUUUAUUGGGUUUAAAGGGAGCGUAGGCCGGUCUUUAAGCGUGCCGUGAAAUUUUGUGGCCCAACCAUGAGAGUGCGGCGCGAACUGGAGACCUUGAGUGCGCGGAAGGCAGGCGGAAUUCGUGGUGUAGCGGUGAAAUGCUUAGAUAUCACGAAGAACCCCGAUUGCGAAGGCAGCCUGCCGCAGCGUUACUGACGCUGAAGCUCGAAAGCGCGGGUAUCGAACAGGAUUAGAUACCCUGGUAAUC